UACGAAGGGAGCUAGCGUUGUUCGGAAUCACUGGGCGUAAAGCGCACGUAGGCGGAUUGGCAAGUUGGGGGUGAAAUCCCAGGGCUCAACCCUGGAACUGCCUUCAAAACUCCCAGUCUGGAGGUCGAGAGAGGUGAGUGGAAUUCCGAGUGUAGAGGUGAAAUUCGUAGAUAUUCGGAGGAACACCAGUGGCGAAGGCGGCUCACUGGCUCGAUACUGACGCUGAGGUGCGAAAGCGUGGGGAGCAAACAGG
rnacentral:rRNA from 1 species